UGGGGAAGAGGAUUUGUUGGUCAGUGAACUCUCCUCCUUCAGAUAUGUUGAAACAAAUGAGGGGAUCGUCGAGGUUCCACUCUACUGUCUAGAGUUUGAAGAUGUCAGUUCCGCAUCCGUCAACAACAAUCAAUCAUCCGCUACCAUCCUAUCCUCAGUGAAGAGUGCCAAGCAGACAUUGGAGAAAGGCCCACUUCCCGUUUGGGGCAAGGUCAUCAAUGUGGCAGAAAAACGCGACAGGUUUGGUAUCGGUUAUCACCCAGCAACAUGAAGGUGAGAAAAAC
rnacentral:lncRNA from 1 species